AGGAGCCUCUCCCAGCCAGGAUUUCAUCAAGGACCCAGGACCUCAGAAGUGAGGACUGAGCCGGGGCAUCCUCCCAGAAGGUCCAGAUAAUCCAGCUCUACUCCUGAUAACAGCUGUGGGAGAUCCCUGGCAGAGCUGUCAGACUGUGAGCCUCCCUCGAUAUGCCCUGGGGGUCAUCAGAGAGGUGAGAGCCUUGGCUGGAAGGGGACAGGCUCACAAGAGGAAAGAGUCUCAGGCCCUGUCACAAGUCAAGGAGCUCCAGGAACCAGGAGGUGGAGGUCUGAGGCUGGUGUCCUGAGGUCAGAGAGCAGAGGAGGUCCAGGCAGAACCAGGAGUCAAGGCCCGUGGUCCCCCAUCUGUCACCUCUGCCCACACUCCUGUCU
rnacentral:lncRNA from 1 species